rnacentral:tRNA from 1 species
CCUUAGGUGGCUGAAUUAAAAGCAAUGGUCUCUUAAACCAAUUUAUAGUAUAUAAUACUCCUAACGA